GCAUUUUCAGGAGAUGGGUUUCUGAUACACAUAGAAGGGGGAGUUUCCUGAUUAAAAGAACAAACUAAAGAUGAUAGAGGAAAUGCUGUGACAAAAGCACUGAGUAGCUGAAAAAGAAGUCAGAGUGACCAUAGACAGCUUCAUGGAGAAGCUCAUGGAUCUCUACCUCCAGGGUGACUACCUGCUCAAGAGAGGAGAAUGCUUCCUGUGCCCACUUGUUGCCAUGGUCUAUUGCCUGGGCUAAAGAGAAGCAGCCCUUCGUGUGCCCUGGACCUUAUAGAGACCCUCAUAAGGUCAACCAUUGGCUAAGGGAUAGAUAAUGGUCGCCAUUUCAAAUGAAUGACAAGUCUUCGACGUGGUGCUCCACAGAGUUGUUCUCUCCUCCUGGCCCUGGCUGUCAUUUGAUUUUAUAAUUCCUUAUAUUAAAAAUUCCAUAACAGUAAAGGGAGCAGGAGAGGGCACCAAUGAAUGUGAAAUUUCAACAUAGUUCUAGAAGAUUGAAAAUGAAUAGAAGGUUUUGAUUUGGAAGUCACAGCUUAAAAUACUCACAGACUGAACUAGCAGAACUCUGAUGAGGCUACAGAGUCUGGGUUAGUAGGUAAACGGAGGGUGGAAGAAGACAGGGCUGAAAAUGAAGGAUGUAUCUCAUAAUAUGUGUGAAGUUGCGAAUAUCUCCCCCACUGCCAUUCCAACAUGUCACUGUCUUUAGUCAGGUCAGAAACUUGGUUUCUCUUCUCUUCUCUUCUCUUCUCUUCUCUUC